rnacentral:rRNA from 1 species
CAGGACGAACGCUGGCGGCGUGCCUAAUACAUGCAAGUCGAACGGUCUUUCUAUGGAAGCUUGCUUCACUGAGAAGAUAGUGGCGAACGGGUGAGUAACACGUGGGUAACCUGCCCAUAAGAGGGGGAUAACAUCCGGAAACGGGUGCUAAUACCGCAUAGUUUUCUUGAUCGCAUGAUCGGGAAAGGAAAGACGGCCUUUGUGCUGUCGCUUAUGGAUGGACCCGCGGCGUAUUAGUUAGUUGGUGAGGUAACGGCUCACCAAGACGAUGAUACGUAGCCGACCUGAGAGGGUGAUCGGCCACAUUGGGACUGAGACACGGCCCAAACUCCUACGGGAGGCAGCAGUAGGGAAUCUUCCGCAAUGGACGAAAGUCUGACGGAGCAACGCCGCGUGAGUGAAGAAAAGGUUUUCGGAUCGUAAAACUCUGUUGUCAGAGAAGAACAAGUUGGAGAGUAACUGCUCCAGCCUUGACGGUAUCUGACCAGAAAGCCACGGCUAACUACGUGCCAGCAGCCGC